rnacentral:tRNA from 2 species
GGGGCGUUAGCUCAGUCGGUCAGAGCAGGGGACUCAUAAUCCCUUGGUCACGGGUUCAAGUCCCGUACGCCCUACCU